AUGGGUGAGGAGGUGAGGAUGGGUGAAUACGAGGGCGGUAUAGACGAUGGUGGUGCUGAUGAAGAGCGAGUUCUGGAAUGGGAAGCUGGGUUACCGAGCGUUGACGAUCUAACGCCUUUGUCGCAGCCGUUGAUCCCUCCGGAGCUGGCGUCAGCGUUUAGUAUUUCGCCGGUGCAGUGUCGGUCGCUGGUCGAUGUCAAUCGCGCGUCGAGGGAUACGUUAUCGUCGCUUCGUGGUAUGCAAUCGCAGGCUUUCUCGUCGAAUAAUUUCAAGUCAUUUGGUGACAGCCCUGAUUCUAUGGUAGUUGAGAACGACGAGAAUGAGAACGAGAACGAGAACGAUGAUGAUGAUAAUCGAGAUGGUUCUGGAUCCGAUUCAAGGAAAUCUAGGAAAAUUGACUCUGUCGAGGAGGCUGAUUUAGCUCUCCCGACUGAUAAUUCGACCGACGACCCUUCAGCUCGGACCCUCAAGAGGCCUCGCCUUGUAUGGACUCCUCAGCUCCAUAAGCGGUUCGUCGAUGUCGUGGCACAUCUGGGUAUCAAGAACGCGGUUCCUAAGACCAUUAUGCAGUUGAUGAACGUGGAGGGCUUGACCCGUGAGAACGUGGCUAGCCAUUUGCAGAAGUACCGGCUCUACUUAAAGAGGAUGCAGGGUUUAUCGAACGAUGAUCCUUCGUCUUCGGACCAGCUCUUUUCUUCCACACCGGUACCGCAGAGCUUUAACGAAUCCGGUGGGAGCGGUCACUCGCAUGGAAACGGACACUUGCAGAUACCGAUGCCGAUUCCAUACCAGUCGAUGAUGUCUAUGCCGGUUUUAGGAAUGAGUCAUGGUGGCCAUGGACAAAUGGGCAUUCCCGUUGGGGCUCCCAAUGGUGCCGUGGGUUACCAUGGGUUCGAGUCGCAUCAUCCGUACAGCAUGUUGCAGCAGCGAGAUUGGUCUGGAAAUAAGUACGGUUCAGUGGUAACUUACCCACAUGUUGCUCCAAGUGAGAAAUAGAACUCUUGAUAUAUUAUUGACACCAUAACCUGAGAUUCAGAAGUUGAGCAAGUUGGUUGAAGUUAACUCUUGGUGCUCAACUAGUAAGGUUGCUAGAUUGCUAAUCUUGAACUUGACAGGCAUGUGAAGGGAAGGGUUGUUAGGUGCUACAUGAAGACACUAGAUGCAUACUUGAUAUGAUAUGGGAUCACAAAACGUGCUUAAAUACAUACAUAUCAAAUAUAUUAUAUAAAUUCUUUAUAGUGCAGGAGAUACACGGAGUUGUACUUCUAGUCCUCAUGUUGACAGCUCGUCAUUAGGUCUACAUUAAAUCUGUUUUUCAAUUUAUAUGUGCCAUUCGCUUUUUCUAUUAAUCAAUGUAUGAAACUUCUUUCUCAGCAGCAAAGCAAAAGUUCAGCUGUUCUACCUGGCUGAGUUGAAUGCUUUAUCAACUUUUAGCCUCUUGUCAUGUACGAAAUUCCUUCCAAUUCUAUAUAUGUGCAAAUUAGCUGAUUAUAAUAUCAAUUGCUUCUCUAAGGUUGACCUGUUAGGAGUUUCUGCUUUCUUUUGAUGGUACUCUGAAUUGCAAGUUUGUAUAAUUCCUAGUACAUUUGUUGAAGACCUUAUAACAGAAUAGUUUAAAAAUCAACAUAUCAUAAUAUGUUCACUCCUAAUCUUCUCAUGAACUAAAAUGAACAUUAUUAAAUGCACUUUCAGACCACAUUUGUAAAAUUUUCAGCUCUCGAGGAACUUCCUAAAAGAAGCUUUUGCAUUGUUUUGAUUUAGCUGGUCCCUGAUGUGGUUGUUGGAAAACUUAUAAUAUCUUUGACCAUUCACAGUGUGUAUAAUCAAGGAACUUUUUUCAAAAUUUUUAGCUUUCUCUUGUUCAAAUGUAAAAUGUAUAUUAUGUGUGUACUGGAGGGUGCAUUUGUGAUGUAGAUGCAUUGAUCUAUUUCGUUGAACUAAAUUGACUGGUGUCGCUGUUCUUUUUCUGCCUGAAGUAUGUGGAAAUUGGUAAACAUAGCCAAUUCAGUGAAUAAUGCUGAGGGUUCCCUCUAGUAUGUUUUUGUAUUUUCAUUGAAGGUCACAUACUCUUUAACCCAAUGGUAUUGCAUUUUUUUGUCAUGCUUUGCCUCCAAUUAUGGUGGUAGUAAGAAAUAAUUCCAUUUGAAAUACAGAACUCAGAAAGAUUAAAGAAAUCUUUUGCUCAUGAUUCUGGAUUUUGGAGCAUUUUCCAAAAUGUGUUCUUCAUUUUAGCUAGGAACCACACUUUAGAUAACUGUUUUAGUUAAGGAGAUAAGAAAGUAAGUGGGUUAGAUAUGGAAAAAUUAUACAACAUCGAUUAAUAGAGAACUUUGAAAACGAUUCUUCGUCAUGAACUUUUACUGGAGCUCUUCUCUUCAUUAUGUAUUUUACCUGAGUGGGUUGUUCAUUGGUGGUAUCCAAUUGCUAAUCUGGAGUGAAUCUUUAAGGAGGAUGCUUAUUGUUCGACAUUAUUAUGGAGGGCAGUUCAUUCAAGUCUGCGAGCCCUCUACAAUGUUAAUUACUUAUGAAUUGCUGAUAUAGAAAUCAACGUAGUGCUGUUGUUACUGUAUUUUUGUGAUGAUAUUUGAAAUAAUUACCAUUGUGUUUUUACUGUUAUUUUCUUUUCGAUUUGUGAUCAUGUUAUUAUAUUUCACGGGGACUUAACUUGCUAGAUGUGUUUAGUAAAGAAACAGGUGCUGAACUUACUCUGUACGAGCUUCGACUGUUACAAGAUCGACUUGUUACUUUUCUGCUUAAAAUGUGUUGCUGAUGUUGGUUUUGUUGGAUAUUUGGUUUAGUAUUUUCAUUGCUUCUAAAGAAUUUAUUUUUCACUCGUAGCAAUAAAGGAAUAGGCAUGAC